GACGAACGCUGGCGGCGUGCCUAAUACAUGCAAGUAGGACGCACAGUUUAUACCGUAGCUUGCUACACCAUAGACUGUGAGUUGCGAACGGGUGAGUAACGCGUAGGUAACCUGCCUAUUAGAGGGGGAUAACUAUUGGAAACGAUAGCUAAUACCGCAUAACAGUAUGUAACACAUGUUAGAUGCUUGAAAGAUGCAAUUGCAUCGCUAGUAGAUGGACCUGCGUUGUAUUAGCUAGUAGGUAGGGUAAUGGCCUACCUAGGCGACGAUACAUAGCCGACCUGAGAGGGUGAUCGGCCACACUGGGACUGAGACACGGCCCAGACUCCUACGGGAGGCAGCAGUAGGGAAUCUUCGGCAAUGGGGGGAACCCUGACCGAGCAACGCCGCGUGAGUGAAGAAGGUUUUCGGAUCGUAAAGCUCUGUUGUUAAGGAAGAACGAGUGUGAGAAUGGAAAGUUCAUACUGUGACGGUACUAAACCAGAAAAGGAC
rnacentral:rRNA from 1 species